rnacentral:rRNA from 1 species
UAGGGAAUCUUGCGCAAUGGGCGAAAGCCUGACGCAGCCAUGCCGCGUGAAUGAUGAAGGUCUUAGGAUUGUAAAAUUCUUUCACCGGGGAAGAUAAUGACGGUACCCGGAGAAGAAGCCCCGGCUAACUUCGUGCCAGCAGCCGCGGUAAUACGAAGGGGGCUAGCGUUGCUCGGAAUUACUGGGCGUAAAGGGCGCGUAGGCGGAUAUUUAAGUUAGAGGUGAAAGCCCAGGGCUCAACCCUGGAAUAGCCUUUAAUACUGGAUAUCUUGAGUUCGGGAGAGGUGAGUGGAACUCCGAGUGUAGAGGUGAAAUUCGUAGAUAUUCGGAAGAACACCAGUGGCGAAGGCGACUCACUGGCCCGAUACUGACGCUGAGGCGCGAAAGCGUGGGGAGCAAACAGGAUUAGAUACCCCCGUAGUCC